UGGGGAAUUUUGGACAAUGGGCGCAAGCCUGAUCCAGCCAUGCCGCGUGUGGGAAGAAGGCCUUCGGGUUGUAAACCACUUUUGUCAGGGAAGAAACGGCUUAGUUUAAUACGCUGAGCUAAUGACGGUACCUGAAGAAUAAGCACCGGCUAACUACGUGCCAGCAGCCGCGGUAAUACGUAGGGUGCAAGCGUUAAUCGGAAUUACUGGGCGUAAAGCGUGCGCAGGCGGCUUUGCAAGACAGAUGUGAAAUCCCCGGGCUCAACCUGGGAACUGCAUUUGUGACUGCAUGGCUAGAGUGCGGCAGAGGGGGAUGGAAUUCCGCGUGUAGCAGUGAAAUGCGUAGAUAUGCGGAGGAACACCGAUGGCGAAGGCAAUCCCCUGGGCCUGCACUGACGCUCAUGCACGAAAGCGUGGGGAGCAAACAGG
rnacentral:rRNA from 1 species